UACUUCUUCUUUUUCUGCAGAAACUCUCUCGCUCUCUCUAACCCCUUUCUUCUUUUUUUUUUUUUCUUUUUCUUUUUCUUCUUUCUUCUUCUUCUUCCCAACCCACUUUUUCUUCGUCACCCACUCAAAACCCAGAAAACCUAAACCCACCAACACCAGAGCCCCAAAUCCCUAACUACCCAAUCGCAUCCCGAACCAGAACCCCACUCAAGAAGCAAUUCGAGAUAUGGAAUGCCAAGAGGGCAUGAGAAGUUUGUAGCCAUUGCAGAUGUUCAAGGCUGGGGAUAUGCCAAUUGUGACAUUCGUGGAAAUCCCAUUCCCAUUAUGGCAGUUUCGACAAGUUUAGUUGAUUUUGGGUGUUUUACUUUACGAGGCAUAAAAAUAGAAUGAUGCGUAAUUACAAAUUGAUUUUCCCAAUUUCUAAAUUGGAAGACACCAGCAGCAAGCACUAAAAUUUAGAGAGUGGAACGGAACCUAGUAAUUAAAUUUACAAGACUAGGGAAGGGAUUUCGGAGGUGGAAGAGGCGGUGGUGGUUUACGAGCAUGGUGAGAAUGGCAGAAGAAGAAGAAGAAAAAGAAGAAGGGGUUCUGUCCAGAUUCGAGAAGAAAGAGAAAGAAAAAAAGAAUUUUUUUUUUUUUUUUAAUUUUUAUAAAUUGUUUUUUUUUAAUUUUUUUUUAAUUUUUAUAAAUUGUUUUUUUUUAAUUUUUUUUAAUAAAAUGACGUGGAUCACUAAAAAUUUGCCACGUGUACAAGUGCGUACACGUGA